GACGAACGCUGGCGGCGUGCUUAACACAUGCAAGUCGAACGGAAAGGCCCUGCUUUUGUGGGGUGCUCGAGUGGCGAACGGGUGAGUAACACGUGAGUAACCUGCCCUUGACUUUGGGAUAACUUCAGGAAACUGGGGCUAAUACCGGAUAGGAGCUCCUGCUGCAUGGUGGGGGUUGGAAAGUUUCGGCGGUUGGGGAUGGACUCGCGGCUUAUCAGCUUGUUGGUGGGGUAGUGGCUUACCAAGGCUUUGACGGGUAGCCGGCCUGAGAGGGUGACCGGGCACAUUGGGACUGAGAUACGGCCCAGACGCCUACGGGAGGCAGCAGGGGGGAAUAUGGCACAAUGGGCGGAAGCCUGAUGUAGCAACGCCGCGUGCGGGAUGACGGCCUUCGGGUUGUAAACCGCUUUCGCCUGUGACGAAGCGGGAGUGACGGUAAUGGGUAAAGAAGCACCGGCUAACUACGUG
rnacentral:rRNA from 1 species